AGUCGAACGGAAAGGCCUCUUCGGAGGUACUCGAGUGGCGAACGGGUGAGUAACACGUGGGUGAUCUGCCCUGCACUCUGGGAUAAGCCUGGGAAACUGGGUCUAAUACCGGAUAGGACCAUGCUUUAGUGUGUGUGGUGGAAAGUUUUUUCGGUGUAGGAUGAGCCCGCGGCCUAUCAGCUUGUUGGUGGGGUAAUGGCCUACCAAGGCGGCGACGGGUAGCCGGACUGAGAGGUUGGUCGGCCACAUUGGGACUGAGAUACGGCCCAGACUCCUACGGGAGGCAGCAGUGGGGAAUAUUGCACAAUGGGCGCAAGCCUGAUGCAGCGACGCCGCGUGGGGGAUGACGGCCUUCGGGUUGUAAACUCCUUUCGCAGGGACGAUAGCGUUUUGUGACGGUACCUGGAGAAGAAGCACCGGCUAACUACGUGCCAGCAGCCGCGGUAAUACGUAGGGUGCAAGCGUUGUCCGGAAUUACUGGGCGUAAAGAGCUCGUAGGUGGUUUGUCACGUCGUCUGUGAAAUUCCACAGCUUAACUGUGGGCGUGCAGGCGAUACGGGCUGACUUGAGUACUGUAGGGGUAACUGGAAUUCCUGGUGUAGCGGUGAAAUGCGCAGAUAUCAGGAGGACACCGAUGGCGAAGGCAGGUUACUGGGCAGUUACUGACGCUGAGGAGCG
rnacentral:rRNA from 1 species